rnacentral:misc_RNA from 1 species
GGAGUUCAGUCUUCCCAGGCCCACCACUUUCAUCGAGUGAGCAUUCGUCUUCUGGUUACGGGGCCAUAGCUCAGCUGGGAGAGCGCGUGCUUUGCAAGCAUGAGGUCGUCGGUUCGAUCCCGUCUGGCUCCACCAGAUGGUUUGAUCACCGAGAUCUUGUACCGUCGUCCGCGAAACAUCACUUCGCAUCCUGCUAGUCUGGAUAGACAGCAAGAUGCGUGUUUUCUGACAUCGUAAAGAGGAGAUCGAUCCGAGUUGGGUCGUGCAGCGGAUUGUUGCGCGAAUCCUUCAUUAUCUCCGGAUCAUUUUCGGCGCUCGCUUUCAGCCGUGAGGUUGAAUGCGAGUUGUAAAAUGAUCCUUUUAGCGAAGCUUGACCGCCUCGCUAUCGGAACGAUCUUACGAAGCAAGCUGGUCUUUCUAGUCAAUGUCCGGCUGUGCGUAGCGUUCAUCGAGGGCGCGUGCCGUAAGGCAAUCGUACAGACAACAUUCUGCCGAGUGUGUGGACAUUGAUAAUGAGAGCAAUCAAGUGCCUUAAGGGUGUUCGGUGGAUGCCUUGGCGCUGAGAGGCGAUGAAGGACGUGCUACGCUGCGAUAAGCCGUGGGGAGCUGCGAAGAAGCUUUGAUCCGCGGAUUUCCGAAG